rnacentral:rRNA from 1 species
UACAGAGGUCCCAAGCGUUACUGAGAAUCACUGGGUUUAAAGGGUGCGUAGGUGGUUCGUUAAGUCUGUUGUGAAAUCCCCGGGCUCAACCCGGGAACUGCUUCGGAUACUGGCGAACUUGAGGUUGGUAUGGGUCACUGGAACUGACGGUGGAGCGGUGAAAUGCGUAGAUAUCGUCAGGAACGCCGGUGGUGAAGACGGGUGACUGGGCCAAUUCUGACACUGAGGCACGAAAGCGUGGGGAUCAAACGGG